GGAUAUGAUUGGUUAAGAAAGAUAAAAAUUAUCAUAAAUGACUAUAGAGAAAAAUAGGUGUUUCAGUAAACAUUAAUGAAGAAAACUUGAAAGACAUGAUUUAACUCAACAAUGGACAAGAGAACAUAAUUUUCAUAAGCAAAUGUAAUGGUGGUAGAUGCUUAAGCCCAAAUGUUUUGUUUUUGUUCGAGGGUGUAUCUAAAUAAGUUCUCAAACUAUAACUCGAACUACCUCUUUGAACACAUUAUCCCAUUGCUAAAAAGACAUGGUCGGGAAUAUAUUAACAUUGUCCAAGAGCUAGACACUUCCUAAGGUGAAGGUGAAG
rnacentral:lncRNA from 1 species